CCAGAGGGUCGGGCGGCCGCGGCGUGCUUGCACGGCGAGGAAAGUCCGGGCUCCACGGAAUGCACGGUGCCGGGUAACGCCCGGCGGGGGUGACCCUAGGGAAAGUGCCACAGAAAACAGACCGCCCCGUUUCGACGGGGUAAGGGCGAAACGGUGCGGUAAGAGCGCACCGCGCCCCUGGUAACAGGGGCGGCAUGGCAAACCCCACCGGGAGCAAGACCGAAUAGGGAUCGCAUAUGGGGCCGCUUCCGCCUCGCGAUCCGGGUUGGUUGCUGGAGGCCGGGAGCAAUCCCGGCCCUAGAGGAAUGGUCGCCCAUCCGAUUUUAUCGGUGGACAGAACCCGGCUUACAGACCCUCUGGCGAU
rnacentral:RNase_P_RNA from 1 species